GGCAAGGGAAGUCGGCAA
rnacentral:snRNA from 1 species